CGUAUCGUAUGUGAAGCUGGACAAACCAUUUUUUCCACUGCAAUUUAGGCCAAGAAUUUUCAUGUUAUUGGGAAAGAAGAAAGUAGUAAGUGACACAUUCAACUACAGAUCAAAUUCACCACAAGCUGUGUUACAGGUGCCACCGAUGGACUAGUGGUGACUACUCAUCAGGUGGCCAAUUUAGCCGUCCUGAUCAUGGUUAAGUCUAACGAAUUAGUUCUAGAAUAUCAUAAUUUAAAACGCAAGGCGAGUGAGUAGGAUAUGAGUGGGGGUGGGGUGUUUGCGCUCACGGGGCGGGAUGCGAGGGA